rnacentral:rRNA from 1 species
UACAGAGGGGGCAAGCGUUGUUCGGAAUUACUGGGCGUAAAGGGCUCGUAGGCGGCCAACUAAGUCACACGUGAAAUCCCCAGGCUUAACCUGGGAACUGCGUGUGAUACUGGAUGGCUUGAAUUCGGGAGAGGGAUGCAGAAUUCCAGGUGUAGCGGUGAAAUGCGUAGAUAUCUGGAGGAAUACCGGUGGCGAAGGCGGCAUCCUGGACCGACAUUGACGCUGAGGAGCGAAAGCUAGGGGAGCAAACGGG